rfam:Pseudoruegeria aquimaris strain CECT 7680 genome assembly, contig: 0006
GGGUCCGCAGUUCACCCAGUCGUCGCCGGCGCAUGCGCCACGCUAAACCUGUGA